CAGAAAGACCCUAUGAAGCUUUACUGUAACUUGAAAUUGAAACUGGACUUUAGUCGCGCAGUAUAGGUGGGAGGCAUUGAAAAUAAUCUUGCGGGAAUAUUGGAGCCAUCAGUGAGAUACCACUCUUCUAAUGUUAGGUUUCUAACUUUGUAUCAUUAUCUGGUCAAAGAACAGUUUCAGGCGGGCAGUUUGACUGGGGCGGUCGCCUCCCAAAUGGUAACGGAGGCGUACAAAGGUUUCCUCUGAACGUGUAGAAAUCGUAUCUAGAGUGUAAAGGCAUAAGGAAGCUUGACUGUGAGACCUACAAGUCGAGCAGGGACGAAAGUCGGUCUUAGUGAUCUGACGGUACUGAGUGGAAAGGCCGUCACUCAACGGAUAAAAGUUACUCUAGGGAUAACAGGCUGA
rnacentral:rRNA from 1 species